AUUGAACGCUGGCGGCAGGCCUAACACAUGCAAGUCGAGCGGAUGAGAGGAGCUUGCUUCCUGAUUCAGCGGCGGACGGGUGAGUAAUGCCUAGGAAUCUGCCUGGUAGUGGGGGACAACGUUUCGAAAGGAACGCUAAUACCGCAUACGUCCUACGGGAGAAAGCAGGGGACCUUCGGGCCUUGCGCUAUCAGAUGAGCCUAGGUCGGAUUAGCUAGUUGGUGAGGUAAUGGCUCACCAAGGCGACGAUCCGUAACUGGUCUGAGAGGAUGAUCAGUCACACUGGAACUGAGACACGGUCCAGACUCCUACGGGAGGCAGCAGUGGGGAAUAUUGGACAAUGGGCGAAAGCCUGAUCCAGCCAUGCCGCGUGUGUGAAGAAGGUCUUCGGAUUGUAAAGCACUUUAAGUUGGGAGGAAGGGUUGUACGUUAAUACCGUGCAAUUUUGACGUUACCGACAGAAUAAGCACCGGCUAACUCUGUGCCAGCCGCCGCAGUAAUAC
rnacentral:rRNA from 1 species